AUGCUCACUUCAGCAGCACAUGUACUAAUAUUGGAACGAUACAGAGAUUAGCAUGGCCUCUGCGCAAGGAUGACACGCAAAUUUGUGAAGCGUUCCAUAUAUUU
ensembl:snRNA U6 U6 spliceosomal RNA